rnacentral:rRNA from 1 species
AGUGAACGCUGGCGGUAGGCCUAACACAUGCAAGUCGAACGGCAGCACAGUAAGAGCUUGCUCUUACGGGUGGCGAGUGGCGGACGAGUGAGGAAUACAUCGGAAUCUACUUUUUCGUGGGGGAUAACGUAGGGAAACUUACGCUAAUACCGCAUACGACCUACGGGUGGAAGCAGGGGAUCUUCGGACCUUGCGCGAUUGAAUGAGCCGAUGUCGGAUUAGCUAGUUGGCGGGGUAAAGGCCCACCAAGGCGACGAUCCGUAGCUGGUCUGAGAGGAUGAUCAGCCACACUGGAACUGAGACACGGUCCAGACUCCUACGGGAGGCGGCAGUGGGGAAUAUUGGACAAUGGGCGCAAGCCUGAUCCAGCCAUACCGCGUGGGUGAAGAAGGCCUUCGGGUUGUAAAGCCCUUUUGUUGGGAAAGAAAAGCAGCAGGUUAAUACCCCGCUGUUCUGACGGUACCCAAAGAAUAAGCACCGGCUAACUUCGUG